rnacentral:rRNA from 1 species
CCCUUAGAUGUUCUGGGCCGCACACGCGCUACACUGAAGGAGGCAGCGUGUACUCCUGGAUCGAAAGAUUUGGGUAACCCGCGAAUCUCCUUCGUGCUAGGGAUUGAGGUUUGCAAUUAUCCUUCAUGAACGAGGAAUUCCCAGUAAGUGCAAGUCAUAAGCUUGCGCUGACUACGUCCCUGCCCUUUGUACACACCGCCCGUCGCACCUACCGAUUGAAUGGUCCGGUGAAAUCUCGGGACGGCGGCUCGGUCGCUUGCGUCCGACUGCUGAAACUUGAUUAAACCAUAUCAUUUAGAGGAAGGUGAAGUCGUAACA